rnacentral:rRNA from 1 species
GAUGAACGCUGGCGGCGUGCUUAACACAUGCAAGUCGAGCGAAGCGCUUAAACGGAUUUCUUCGGAUUGAAGUUUUGUGACUGAGCGGCGGACGGGUGAGUAACGCGUGGGUAACUUGCCUCAUACAGGGGGAUAACAGUUAGAAAUGGCUGCUAAUACCGCAUAAGCGCACAGGACCGCAUGGUCUGGUGUGAAAAACUCCGGUGGUAUGAGAUGGACCCGCGUCUGAUUAGCUAGUUGGAGGGUACGCCACAAGGCGACGAUCAGUAGCCGGCCUGAGAGGGUGAACGGCCACAUUGGGACUGAGACACGGGCCCAGACUCCUAGGGAGCAGCAGUGGGAAUAUGCACAAUGGGGGAAACCCUGAUGCAGCGACGCCGCGUGAAGGGAAGAAGUAUCUCGGGUAUGGUAAAACUUCUAUCAGCAGGG